GACGUAGGAGGCGAGCGUUAUCCGGAUUCACUGGGCGUAAAGCGCAUGUAGGCGGCUGGACAAGUCGUGUGUUAAAGCCCCUGGCUCAACUGGGGGAGGUCAUGCGAGACUGUACGGCUGGAGGGCAACAGAGGCACGUGGAACUCCCGGUGUAGCGGUGGAAUGCGCAGAUAUCGGGAAGAACACCCGUGGCUAAGGCGGCUCUCUAGUACGGUACUGACGCUGAGACGCGAAAGCGUGGGGAGCGAACAGG
rnacentral:rRNA from 1 species